UAGAAAUGAUAGAGAGAGAAAUGGAUUGAAGUAUAAGUGAAAAGGUUGGUUUUGCAGAGGUUGGUCUGCUAGGGACUCAAUGACAGGAGAUUCUAGAGUCUGGAGAAAAGAUCUGAAGGGGCACUGACCAACUGAAAUGGGCUUCCUGUUUCUUGGAGCUGAGAGAAGAGGUAACAGAGUUCUGCUGAUCCUAGAGAUACUAAAUCUAACAGUGACAUUGAAGGGAAACCUUUGGACUUUCUUGGGAGUACCUUUCCCCACAAAAAAAAGAAGAGAGACAUCUAAGAAGAUCUUGUAUAAUAUCAAACCUGGUGAUUCACACUCUAGUGUGAAUUGGACUUAAGUAAAUCAGAGUUGCAUAAAGUCAUCAGCCUCACUCGCUCUUCCAGAGUCAUCCAAAUCCAAUGGCAAGAUACAAGUCAGGAUGCCUGGCAAUGACCCAGGAUGAAGUGUAUGAUCUUGCUGUCUUCAAGCUUUAAGUGCUCUCCAUCACCUGCUUUAGCUGCCUUCAUUGCUAUUGUAACAAAUUGUUCUCAUUUCCCAUCUCACCUGAAGAAGUCUUCAUGUGCUUGAGACUAAUCAUGCAACUGACUCCCAUGGAAAUUGUGGAUAAGGAAUCCAUUAAUGAAAAUGGCACUGCUUGCUUCUUUCUUGUUGACCUGAUAGCCUUGGGGCUAUCAAAAGAGCAGAUAACUAAUAGGAAAACUGCACAUUUUUACAGUCUCCCAAAUGCUCAGUGUAGUGCCUUGCACACAGGGUUCAGUGCUCUUCCUAGUGGUUUACAUGACUAUUUCUGGGGAAAGAAAGAAAAUCAAUGUCCUGGCAUCUCCUAGGAAGCCUGGCUCAAAACCAAAAGGAAAGUAAAAGCAGCCCAAACACUGACUCUAUGGUUAUGAGCUCAUCUGCACAGGGAGACCUUUUAGGAGAUUAAAAUACAGUUGAGAAUGCAACUCAAUUUAAUUUUAGCCCAUUAAAGCUAAGUAGAAACAGGGAAAUCAUUUGGUAUUUCUACUCUGCACUAAAUAGUUGACCUGAGUGAUGCUCAGGUGAUGGACACAGAUGCGCAAUUGAGGCAACUAGGAAACUAGCUGGCAAAACAAACCAACCUAGAAGACAGAUGUAUACUCAAGUGUUCUAAACCAAUGGAAUAGCUCAAUACAGACAAUUGAUCCAAAUGCCAAGGUACUGGACAUGGAUCAAGAGUCAGCAUUCAUCUGGCAAAGCAAUAAAGCGGGAUCAUUUACCA
rnacentral:lncRNA from 1 species